rnacentral:rRNA from 1 species
GGGUUGUGAGGUUAAGCGACUAAGCGUACACGGUGGAUGCCCUGGCAGUCAGAGGCGAUGAAGGACGUGCUAAUCUGCGAUAAGCGUCGGUAAGGUGAUAUGAACCGUUAUAACCGGCGAUUUCCGAAUGGGGAAACCCAGUGUGAUUCGUCACACUAUCAUUAACUGAAUCCAUAGGUUAAUGAGGCGAACCGGGGGAACUGAAACAUCUAAGUACCCCGAGGAAAAGAAAUCAACCGAGAUUCCCCCAGUAGCGGCGAGCGAACGGGGAGCAGCCCAGAGCCUGAAUCAGUGUGUGUGUUAGUGGAAGCGUCUGGAAAGGCGCGCGAUACAGGGUGACAGCCCCGUACACAAAAAUGCACAUGCUGUGAGCUCGAUGAGUAGGGCGGGACACGUGGUAUCCUGUCUGAAUAUGGGGGGACCAUCCUCCAAGGCUAAAUACUCCUGACUGACCGAUAGUGAACCAGUACCGUGAGGGAAAGGCGAAAAGAACCCCGGCGAGGGGAGUGAAAAAGAACCUGAAACCGUGUACGUACAAGCAGUGGGAGCACGCUUCGGCGUGUGACUGCGUACCUUUUGUAUAAUGGGUCAGCGACUUAUAUUCUGUAGCAAGGUUAACCGAAUAGGGGAGCCGAAGGGAAACCGAGUCUUAACUGGGCGUUAAGUUGCAGGGUAUAGACCCGAAACCCGGUGAUCUAGCCAUGGGCAGGUUGAAGGUUGGGUAACACUAACUGGAGGACCGAACCGACUAAUGUUGAAAAAUUAGCGGAUGACUUGUGGCUGGGGGUGAAAGGCCAAUCAAACCGGGAGAUAGCUGGUUCUCCCCGAAAGCUAUUUAGGUAGCGCCUCGUGAAUUCAUCUCCGGGGGUAGAGCACUGUUUCGGCAAGGGGGUCAUCCCGACUUACCAACCCGAUGCAAACUGCGAAUACCGGAGAAUGUUAUCACGGGAGACACACGGCGGGUGCUAACGUCCGUCGUGAAGAGGGAAACAACCCAGACCGCCAGCUAAGGUCCCAAAGUCAUGGUUAAGUGGGAAACGAUGUGGGAAGGCCCAGACAGCCAGGAUGUUGGCUUAGAAGCAGCCAUCAUUUAAAGAAAGCGUAAUAGCUCACUGGUCGAGUCGGCCUGCGCGGAAGAUGUAACGGGGCUAAACCAUGCACCGAAGCUGCGGCAGCGACAUUAUGUGUUGUUGGGUAGGGGAGCGUUCUGUAAGCCUGUGAAGGUGGCCUGUGAGGGUUGCUGGAGGUAUCAGAAGUGCGAAUGCUGACAUAAGUAACGAUAAAGCGGGUGAAAAGCCCGCUCGCCGGAAGACCAAGGGUUCCUGUCCAACGUUAAUCGGGGCAGGGUGAGUCGACCCCUAAGGCGAGGCCGAAAGGCGUAGUCGAUGGGAAACAGGUUAAUAUUCCUGUACUUGGUGUUACUGCGAAGGGGGGACGGAGAAGGCUAUGUUGGCCGGGCGACGGUUGUCCCGGUUUAAGCGUGUAGGCUGGUUUUCCAGGCAAAUCCGGAAAAUCAAGGCUGAGGCGUGAUGACGAGGCACUACGGUGCUGAAGCAACAAAUGCCCUGCUUCCAGGAAAAGCCUCUAAGCAUCAGGUAACAUCAAAUCGUACCCCAAACCGACACAGGUGGUCAGGUAGAGAAUACCAAGGCGCUUGAGAGAACUCGGGUGAAGGAACUAGGCAAAAUGGUGCCGUAACUUCGGGAGAAGGCACGCUGAUAUGUAGGUGAAGUCCCUCGCGGAUGGAGCUGAAAUCAGUCGAAGAUACCAGCUGGCUGCAACUGUUUAUUAAAAACACAGCACUGUGCAAACACGAAAGUGGACGUAUACGGUGUGACGCCUGCCCGGUGCCGGAAGGUUAAUUGAUGGGGUUAGCGGUAACGCGAAGCUCUUGAUCGAAGCCCCGGUAAACGGCGGCCGUAACUAUAACGGUCCUAAGGUAGCGAAAUUCCUUGUCGGGUAAGUUCCGACCUGCACGAAUGGCGUAAUGAUGGCCAGGCUGUCUCCACCCGAGACUCAGUGAAAUUGAACUCGCUGUGAAGAUGCAGUGUACCCGCGGCAAGACGGAAAGACCCCGUGAACCUUUACUAUAGCUUGACACUGAACAUUGAGCCUUGAUGUGUAGGAUAGGUGGGAGGCUUUGAAGUGUGGACGCCAGUCUGCAUGGAGCCGACCUUGAAAUACCACCCUUUAAUGUUUGAUGUUCUAACGUUGGCCCCUGAUCGGGGUUGCGGACAGUGUCUGGUGGGUAGUUUGACUGGGGCGGUCUCCUCCUAAAGAGUAACGGAGGAGCACGAAGGUUGGCUAAUCCUGGUCGGACAUCAGGAGGUUAGUGCAAUGGCAUAAGCCAGCUUGACUGCGAGCGUGACGGCGCGAGCAGGUGCGAAAGCAGGUCAUAGUGAUCCGGUGGUUCUGAAUGGAAGGGCCAUCGCUCAACGGAUAAAAGGUACUCCGGGGAUAACAGGCUGAUACCGCCCAAGAGUUCAUAUCGACGGCGGUGUUUGGCACCUCGAUGUCGGCUCAUCACAUCCUGGGGCUGAAGUAGGUCCCAAGGGUAUGGCUGUUCGCCAUUUAAAGUGGUACGCGAGCUGGGUUUAGAACGUCGUGAGACAGUUCGGUCCCUAUCUGCCGUGGGCGCUGGAGAACUGAGGGGGGCUGCUCCUAGUACGAGAGGACCGGAGUGGACGCAUCACUGGUGUUCGGGUUGUCAUGCCAAUGGCACUGCCCGGUAGCUAAAUGCGGAAGAGAUAAGUGCUGAAAGCAUCUAAGCACGAAACUUGCCCCGAGAUGAGUUCUCCCUGACUCCUUGAGAGUCCUGAAGGAACGUUGAAGACGACGACGUUGAUAGGCCGGGUGUGUAAGCGCAGCGAUGCGUUGAGCUAACCGGUACUAAUGAACCGUGAGGCUUAACCUUACAACGCCGAAG